CGUGGGUGUCCUGAAAACUCAAAACAGGAAAGAGACCAUUCAGGUCUACUAGUUCAUUCUUCAGAGAUCAAAAGUGAGGCGAAGUGAAUUGCUCAAGACAAAACAAAACAGUGGCACACCUAGGACUAGAACUCUAAUCUUCGGUCUAGACUCCAGAAUUUUCUCUGCAACAGAAUUAGUAUGAAAACAAAGGCAAGUGAUGCAUUGUGAAGAAAAGGAAGAAAAAACUCCUAAAGCAUGGCACGUUAGCACUGAAAAAAUCCUGGAAGGUGAUCUCCUUCAACGUCUUUACAAGUUUUGCUUGUUUCGAUCCUUUCAAACAGCGCCCCCUGAGGCACCUUUUCGUUCCCGGGGACUCCGUGUGAAGAGCCCCAACUACUUCAGCCCCUUGUUCUGUUUCAUGGGAACUGAAGGCCAGACACCAAGGUCUUUCCCUAAGAAGCACUUUACUUAAUGAAGUAACGAAAUAAAGAUACUUUCUCAAUCCGUUCUUACACUGCCGCAAAGGGAGGCAGAGGGAAAGGAGGAAGGCGAGGA